GCCAUCUUAGCUCAGUUGGUAGAGCAACUGAUUCGUAAUCAGUAGGUCGCCGGUUCGAUUCCGGCAGAUGGCU
rnacentral:tRNA from 1 species